GACGAACGCUGGCGGCGUGCUUAACACAUGCAAGUCGAACGGAAAGGCCCUGCUUUUGUGGGGUGCUCGAGUGGCGAACGGGUGAGUAACACGUGAGUAACCUGCCCUUGACUUUGGGAUAACUUCAGGAAACUGGGGCUCAUACCGGAUAGGAGCUCCUGCUGCAUGGUGGGGGUUGGAAAGUUUCGGCGGUUGGGGAUGGACUCGCGGCUUAUCAGCUUGUUGGUGGGGUAGUGGCUUACCAAGGGUUUGAGGGGUAGCCGGCCUGAGAGGGUGACCGGCCACAAGGGGACUGAGACAAGGCCCAGACGCCUACGGGAGGCAGCAGUGGGGAAUAUUGGACAAUGGGCGGAAGCCUGAUGCAGCAACGCCGCGUGCGGGAGGACGGCCUUGGGGUUGUGAACCGCUUUCGCCUGUGACGAAGCGUGAGUGACGGUAAUGGGUAAAGAAGCACCGGCUAACUACGUG
rnacentral:rRNA from 1 species